rnacentral:rRNA from 1 species
UACAGAGGUCUCAAGCGUUGUUCGGAUUCAUUGGGCGUAAAGGGUGCGUAGGCGGCGCGGUAAGUCGGGUGUGAAAUCUCGGAGCUUAACUCCGAAACUGCAUUCGAUACUGCCGUGCUUGAGGACUGGAGAGGAGACUGGAAUUUACGGUGUAGCGGUGAAAUGCGUAGAUAUCGUAAGGAAGACCAGUGGCGAAGGCGGGUCUCUGGACAGUUCCUGACGCUGAGGCACGAAGGUCAGGGGAGGCAAACGGG